rnacentral:rRNA from 1 species
GACGAACGCUGGCGGCGUGCUUAACACAUGCAAGUCGAACGGAAAGGCCCUGCUUUUGUGGGGUGCUCGGGUGGCGAACGGGUGCGUAACACGUGAGUAACCUGCCCUUGACUUUGGGAUAACUUCAGGAAACUGGGGCUACUACCGGAUAGCAGCUCCUGCUGCAUGGUGGGGGUUGGAACGUUUCGGCGGUUGGGGAUGGACUCGCGGCUUAUCAGCUUGUUGGUGGGGUAGUGGCUUACCCAGGGUUUGACGGGUAGCCGGCCUGAGAGGGUGACCGGCCACAUGGGGACUGAGAGACGGCGCAGACUCCUACGUGAGGCAGCAGGGGGGAAUAUUGCACAAUGGGCGGGAGCCGGAUGCAGCAGCGCUGCGUGUGGGAUGACGGCCUGCGGGGUGUGAACCGCUUUCGGCUGUGACGAAGCGGGAGUGACGGUAAUGGGUAAAGAAGCACCGGCUAACUACGUG